rnacentral:lncRNA from 1 species
CAUACCAUCAUCUUGGAAACUCGCGGACUCAGGCCAGAUUCCACCAUCAAGAACUCCAACAAUCACAUCUUGGCCUAAACUAGAAGCUGGCCAUAGGCCAGAUGAAGGAUUGAGCUUGAGGAAAUCAGAUGUGUGGGUAGUAUGAGGUUCCACAGUUCUGUCUUUGUAUGCUGAAAUGAAACCUGGUGACUUCUUCAAAGCUGCCAGUUCAUCUUUGGACAAAACAGCACUGAAGCCAUGAAACACAUUGUCAUAAGAGUAAACAAGUUUUGGAGCAGAGUGGAAUCUGUCUAGUGAUGAAGGAACAGAAGCUUUGAUGGAAUCAAUAGUAGAAGAAUGCCAAUGAUGGUGAUCAGUAAAGACAUUAGGCAUUAAAGAUUUGUCCAAAUGGACAAUAUAAGUGGAUCUUUGUGCUAUAGCUAUGAAACAGAACAUAUGAGUAGAAAGAAAGAGAAGAUGAAGAGAAUAAGGAAACCCCAUUCUAGAUUCCAUAGCACUACACAAUACACUUCCUAAAAAUCACUAAAUUUUCAAUCUAUCUUAUAAAAUUAUGCAUAGAAAGCAUGAGGGUCCCUUGAGUAAUCAGUAGAGUUAGGUGGAGAUUAAAAUAAGUUAAAGAGGUAUUAUUGUAGUAGUAAAGGUAGGCGGCUUGUAUAAAAGUAAACUAUACCAAUUCUGUCAGCUUAUGUUCCUUUUGCUUCUAAAUAAUAUAUAUAUUAGUAUCUGUUAAUGAUUUUAAUAAGCAUUGUUGACUUGUUGAAUCAGUCAAAUGAGAAUUGAAAGAUUAGAAAAGGCAAAUGACCAUUCAGCACAAUUAUCAUUUUGGUCUGUAUUAGAAGAUAAAAUCUUAUAUUUUUGAGUCCACAAACUUUGGAUCCAAUUUUAUGUGAGGUAAAAAAUAAUCUCAUAUGAUCAGUAUCGGUGGUUUGAAUCACAAAAAUGAUUUGAACUUUGUCAUAAGUUAUCUCUUCUUUUUUUUCCGUUUCUAAGAACUUUUAUCUUUUGCUUUCUUGGUGACUCGAAUAUGAUAAUGCCAUAUUACUUCUCCAAUAAUUGUGGGCUUUAAUCAAAGGUUCCAUUGAAUAUUAUGUGAUAAGGCCAUAGACCUUUCCUCGUGGUCCCAAAUUUCAUCAAUCACUCAAAAUCAAUGAUGUAAUGGGACGUAUAUAAGAAAGGAAGAAAUAUUUUUAUCUUUAAAGAAAGAGAGAAUUCAAAGUACUAGAAUUAGUUAGAGAGGAAAACUAAAGAAGCAAUAUUCCUAGCUUAGUAUCAACUAUCACCAGAGACACCAUUGACCUUCGUCAUUUUGCAAAUGUUAUCGAGUUAUUGAUUUACGAGGUUGAUAUUAUGACUAUGAUCCUUUUGUGUUCGUCUCACACCUAUAUUUCUAUGAUAAUGAUAAUUGAUAAUCACAUAAACGCUUUAAUUUAUAAUUUCCAUUAUUAAACUAAGUAGGGCGUACUUAGUUAUAUCUCUAUCUUAGAUGCAAAUCCUCUCCCCGAUGUCCAAGGUUAAGAUCCUACUCUACUUAAUCCUCGUUCUAUCUCAAUUUCCCUCUCUUCCGAGUUCAAUACAAGAAUAUAGAUGUAUUAUACUAGUCUCGAAUGAGUGAAAUAGUAAAUUCAAGAUCAAAUAAACAAUGCAUAUGAUAAAUGCAGUUCAACUCAAGACGUAACAUCAUGGAUCAUAAUAUAUAGAAUUAGCAUGGUAUUAUUAACUCAACAUCAUGUUUAUUACAACGAAACUUCAACUACGGUAAACUAGUAUUCUCUGCACACAUAUUCAUUAGCUUGCCCUCAUUUGUUCAACUUUUCUGAAGCAAAAAUUUUUAACUUGUACAUUCACAUAGAAAGAAAUAUACAAGUUUUUUUUAUUUUUGUACUACAUUUCCCUUUAUACCUCUAAAACUCAAGAAUCUGAUGGCCCUAGUCAUCACUCACUACCCCAGACCUCAACAAUGGGAGAUGUCACAACAGGACUCCUAACAGAGUGGUUACCCUUCUCUUCAACCCAAGUGAUCGACCCAAAGUUCGUACUCUGAUCACUAUCACCUAUAUAUUGAAUUGUCAAACUAUAACUUUGCUUAUCAUUUUUCCCCUUGAACACCAGAGUUCGUGGAGACACUGAAAUUGUGGAAUUCUUAGGAGUUUCAAUCUUCACAUUAUAAGUUGCUCCACCUUUACCAACAUUUGUCAGGGUCCUCCUGAAUUUCUGCUCCAACCAGGUGUAGUUGCGCUCGAUGCUGAAUGGGUACAAGGCAAUGAAUGAUGGGUAAUUGAGAUCAGCUGAUGGAUUUGAGCAGUUGUUGUAAUUGGCUGAUGAUCUUGCAAAUGUUUUGAACUGCUCUUCUGUGAAAUUCAAAGAGCAUAUAAGAUUUAUGUAAUCUUGUGGAGUGGCAUCAUAUAUGAGGCCGGGGUCAAGAGCUUUGUUCGGGUCAACAUGUCCUGCUCCCAUUUCUAGGGGUGUGGCUACCCUAUUAUUAUCCCUUCUAAUAGGCUUAUGAGUAUUAUCCAAAUGGUUUGCUGUGGUCAUCAUGGCCGAGCGAAUAGCUGAAGGACUCCAUUCGGGAUGCACACUUUUUAGCAUCCCUGCAAUUCCAGCAGCAUGAGGUGCAGCCAUGGAUGUGCCUGAUUUAAGCUCGUAAUCAGUGGUUAAUUGUAUGUUCUGAAUACUGUCUGAUAUGAGAUUAGGUGGAAAUGCUGCAAGAAUCAGUACCCCUGGCGCCAUAAUAUCUGGCUUUGCAAUUCCCAAAUAGCUUUUGGAGGGCCCUCGUGCUGAGUUUCCUGCAACAACUGGGGCUGGGCUUCCAUCCACAUACGUUUCUUGGAACGUGAUUGUAGCCGUUGGAGAAACACUGUUUUUAACGUAAUUGAUGAUUUGUUUCCCUUCCUUUUUGUCAACCACAACUCCCGGGUAGGGAAAUGAAGAAGACCUGAAAACUCCUGGAUCCUCAGAAAUAAAAAUGCCUGCUUUAAGCCUUGCUCCGAUGACGUGAGAAAUUUGACUAGAGAAACCCCAACCCGCUUCAUCUGCAUUGUAAUCACAGAUGAUGAUGGUGCGUUCGGGAUCAGGAACUUGUGAUAACAAUUCAUCUGAAUCGCAAGCGGCUAGAGUCUUGUUGUAAAUCACUGGAGAAUCCCUGACAAAGGCUCUUGCAGGAAAUAAGCUCCACCCCUUAAUUUUUAACCCAUUGCCUAAAGUCAAAGUUCCUGCAAAUCUCCUGUCAGUGUGGCCUGAUGCGACACACAAGAUCCAUGGAGAUCCAUUUUCUACAGAUGAACCGCUACCUUCAUUUCCAGCUGAAGCUGAGACCAAUACUCCCUUCAUCAUAGCACCGAAAGAAGCAAUUGAUAUAGCAUCUUCAUACAAGGGAAUGAAACGGUACCCAAAAGAAAUGGAUAUCAUGUCAACGCCAUCCGCAACAGCUUGGUCCAUAGCAGCAAUUAAAUCUGAUGAUAGUGUUCCUUCAUCAAAGCUAAACUUGUACACCGCUAUCCUAGCUCGUGGAGCAACCCCUCUUGCUGUCCCUGGUGCAUAUCCAAAAUGGGAAGCACCUUUCGCAAAGUUCCCAGCAGCAAUGGAAGCGCAAUGUGUGCCGUGACCAUCAAUAUCCCUGGCAGAAUUCAUGGAGAUUUUCACAGUAGGAUUAUUCGCCAAAAUUCCCUUAUUGAAGUAAUUAGCCCCAAUGAGUUUUCUGUUGCACAUUGAAGUAUUAAACUGAGUGCCUGGCUUGCAAAUACCUUUCCACCUUUUGGGUAUUUCAGGCAUACCAUCAUCUCUGAAACUCGCGGAUUCUGGCCAGAUUCCACCGUCAAGAACACCAAUGAUCACAUCUUGUCCUAAACCAGAAGCUUGCCAUAACCCCGAUGAAGGAGUGAGCUUGAGGAAAUCAGAUGUGUGGGUAGUAUGAGGUUCCACAGUUCUGUCUUUGUAUGCUGAAAUAAAACCUGGUGACUUCCUCAAAGCUGCCAGUUCAUCUUUGGACAAAACAGCACUGAAGCCAUGAAACACAUUGUCAUAGGAAUAAACAAGUUUUGGAGCAGAGUGGAAUCUGUCUACUGAUGAAGGAACAACAGCUUUGAUGGAAUCAAGAGUGGAAGAAUGCCAAUGAUGGUGAUGAGCAAAGACAUUAGGCAUAAAGGACUUGUCAAGAUGGACAAUGUAAGUGGAUCUUUGUGCUAAAGCUAAAAAGAGAUGAGCCAAAAAAGCCCAUGGAAGCAAGAGUAGAUGUAAAGAAUAAGGAAACCAAAUAUUUCUUGAUCCCAUGUUCACUCACUACACUACACUUGUUAAGACACCAAAUAUUCAUUUGACUUUAUAGGAUUAAACAUAGAAGCAUAUGAGGUCCCUUUAGCAAUCAAUUCUGUUAGGUGGAUACUGAAAUGAGCUAAGAGGUAUUAAUGCAGUAAAUAUAGGCGGCUUGUGUAAACCAAUCAAAAACUUGAGAGGACCUUAGAUGUCAAUCUUGACUCUUGUUAUCCAUUUAAUUCGAUGUUAUUUCUUUAUACUGUAAUAUGAUUUUUUUAUGAAUUUCUUAAGGCAAUAAUCUUUCACCCUUUCUUCUUGAUCAUAUACCCCUUUGUGGAACUAGUAGUAAACAUUGGUGAAAAAUUAAACAAGUAGAUAUGUGUCAUUCUUUUAAAAAUAAAAUCGAACAAAUAGACAGGUAUUUUAUUUUCCUUUUCAACUAGGGGAUAAACCGCCAUAGAGUCCUUUUCAUUUUUUUGUGGUCCUAGGCUUAAUGAAUGACUCAACAUCAAUAAUGUAGUGGGACGUAACAGUGGGAUGCGGCAAAUCACUCAGCUUCUAAUAAAUGUUUUGAUAUAAACGUAAAUAAGAACAGCCGCCUCAGUCUAUCUUGGCAGAGUGUGGAUAAUUUUUAUCACCAUUUUAUCCACAAUCACAUCAUUACUAAUCAUCUUUGUCAUAAUCAUCAUUAUCACUAUGGUUAAUUAUAUAUAAUUACGUCGCUAACCACCAACCGCCAUCACUAACCACUUCUACCGCUACAGGCCAUCACUACCGCAAGUCACCUCCACCUCCACCAAAUUGUCCACCAUAGGACCUUUCUUCUACCACUAUUAAUCACAUUACCAUCACUGUGGUCAAUCUCUACUAUCAACUAUUUUCAUCAUCACAAUUAGUACGGUUGCUAACUGACAACAACAUAUCGUCAACUCAGUGGCGGACCUAUAUUGUGAAGCACCCACCACCUUUUGUAACAACAUUAUUAUUUAUGUACAAAAUUUAGUAAUUCAUUGAAAUAUAUUAAUUGAGCACCCCUUAUAUGUAGCAAUUUUCGAGCUAAAAAUAGUUGAGAACCCAUGAUAUAAAAUUUCUGGAUCCGCCAGUGCGUCAACUACCACACAUUCUCCAGUUACCAUCACGUUAGUCACUACAACAUCAGUCACCUUCUCCAUCACAACUAUCACCACUAUUGUUACUAACCACUAACAUAAAUCAUUACUAUUUACGUCUUAACUAUUUAGUAUCCAGAUCUUAAUGCAAUAUCUUAAUAUUCAGAUGUGUAUUUAGAUUCAAACCUCUAAAUCUUAAUGCACAUCUUAAUAUUCAGACGUGUGAUUUGAAUUCAAACAUUUUAAGCUUAACGAAAACAAAUAAGACCUAAAUAUUUUUGUAUUUUCUUCUAAAAGACAGCAAUCAAUUGUAAGUUGUAACAGAGCAGAGACAAAAAAGGGAAACCCUCCCCAAAAUCCCAAACAGCAUGCUGACAAGUUCUUUGCAGCGACUUCUCCUCACAAAUGGGUAAAAUCUUCUCACUUUUCUUUCUUAAACGUUCUUCACUAUUCUUUCUUAACAUGUUUUUUUUGUGUAUCAACAUUGUCGAUUUGGAUUGAUCAUACUUUAGGGAUAAAAGAAAUAGGCAAUGCCUUUUUGAUUGGACAAAAACUUUUAAUUCAGUAUUUAUGCAUAUAUAAUAUCCCUCUUAAUUCAAGAAUCUGGUCAUCACUAGCUACCCCAGACCUCAACAGUGGUAGAUGUAACUAUAAGACUCCUAACUGCGUGGUUGCCAUUUUCUUCAACCCAAAUGACUGACCACCUGGCUUGCCACAUCAUUACAAAUUUGGGUUGUUAACUCUUGAAGGUAUUUGUGAUCUCUUGGGAUACCGAUGAAGCAGUUUUGAUCCCAAAAUGUUACGGAGGGUAUAACUUAUAAGUGAUUUAUUUCGCAUAGUUCAGGGGUAAUUUUGACCCUUUUCCAUUUUUUUUUAGUUUCUUGUACUGAUUAACAUAACAUGGCUUUGCUUCCAACUCUAUAAGUGAGUAUAUUUGAACUUUUCACCAGUCAAAUCAAUAACAGGGCUGAGUUUUGAUGUGUUGAACAAGAAAAAAGACAAUCCUAAUAAAAUUUCAGGUGCAAGUAACGUAUGGAUAAUUAAUGUUUUAGUAAGCUUAUUUAUAUUUUAGAUAGUAUAACAGAGCAAAUGAUGAUAUAGCAACUAACAUAGCAAUGAUACUAGGAAAUAUGGUCCAAACGAAAAAUGCUAAAUUCGAAUGAACUAGUUGAAAAGCUGCUUCCGCCACUAUCAGCAAAGGCUGGUAGACCCUCAUCUUCUUAUUUUAUCGUUGUUCAUUUAUGCUAACCAAAAAUAUUUUAGUCUUUCUGCAAAUCAUACUCACUCAAACUUUCCUAACCUAGAUUGUUAGCUUCUUGGUUCUCUCCUUUUUUUGUGUGUGAAUAAUCAGAUUGUCGAUGAACCACCUUACUAAGUUGAAAAUUGCUUGUCAUUUUGUGGUAAUUCAUCAACCUAGGUUUAGUGCACUUGUAAUGUCUUAUCAGCUGUAUAUCUCCCAUGAAUCCAAUAUGUUGGCCUUCAUUGAGAUGACAACAUAAAUGCCUUCAAACGAGCAGCUUUGCUCUUUUCGAUAAGUUUUUUUCUUUAUUAUACUCCUACAAAUUGAAGUGUUCAUAUUAUAAAAGUUACUUCAAAGAUUUAGAAAGACAAGAAGUUUAUAUUUUAAAAUACAUCUCCUUUUAAAUGUGUAACUUAUAUUAUAUGGAGAAUGACUUGUUCCUUUCUAUUCAUCAAAACAAGAUACUUAUACAAAUACUAUGCUUAGGAAAACUAAUCAAAGUAAAUCAACUAAGAAUCUGCUCCUAUAAUUAAAUUAGCUAUAUAUGGAAGAUAUAAUAUUUACACCUAUUAUAUUCUAUAACAUUAAAGAAAUGCGAUAACAACUCAACUUACUCAUAUAAUAAAUUAAUAUAAUACUGUGGGAGAUUCUCUAACCGACAACCACCAUUAUGAGCCUAAGUNNNNNNNNNNNNNNNNNNNNNNNNNNNNNNNNNNNNNNNNNNNNNNNNNNNNNNNNNNNNNNNNNNNNNNNNNNNNNNNNNNNNNNNNNNNNNNNNNNNNNNNNNNNNNNNNNNNNNNNNNNNNNNNNNNNNNNNNNNNNNNNNNNNNNNNNNNNNNNNNNNNNNNNNNNNNNNNNNNNNNNNNNNNNNNNNNNNNNNNNNNNNNNNNNNNNNNNNNNNNNNNNNNNNNNNNNNNNNNNNNNNNNNNNNNNNNNNNNNNNNNUGGUUUUACAUCCAGCCCAAUCAGCAUCAGCAAAGCACUCAAUGUGAGUAUGUCCGUGGUUACCAUAUAAAAUGCCAAGUCCAGGGGAUCUUUUCAAGUAGCAUAAGAUCUGUUCCAAGGCUUCCCAAUGUUUGACUGUAGGUGCAGACAUGAAUUGACUAACAACACUCACUGCAAAAGCAAUAUCUGGACGUGUUACAGUGAGAUAGUUUAGUUUCCCUACUAACCUCCUAUAUCUCUCUGGAUCAUCAAAGGGGCUGCCAUCAUCACGGGUCAGAUGCACAUUAGGGACCAUUGGAGUACUACAAGGUUUGGCUGCGGACUUUCCAGUUUCCACAAGUAGGUCAAGGAUAUACUUUCUCUGAGAUAGAAAGAUUCCCUUCUUGCUUCUAGUUACUUCUACUCCCAAAAAAUAUUUUAGUUGUCCCAAAUCUUUUGUGUGGAAUUUAGUAUGCAAGAAUGACUUGAGUGAAGAGAUCCCCGAAUAAUCACUUCCUGUAAUAACAAUGUCAUCAACAUAUACCACAAGAAGAAUAAUGCCAAUUGUUGAUUGUUUAUAAAAGACUGAGUGAUCACACAUGCUCUUUUUCAGCCCAAAUUCCUGAACUACUUCACUGAAUUUGCCAAACCAAGCACGAGGGCUUUGUUUCAAACCAUACAAGGAUUUCUUUAGGUGACAAACUUUACCAUACUCCCCCUGAGCAACAAAUCCAGGUGGUUGCUCCAUAUACACUUCUUCUUGGAGAUCACCAUGAAGAAAUGCAUUCUUGAUAUCUAGCUGGUGCAACGGCCAAUUCUUAGAUGCAGCUAAGGAAAUAAAUAAGCGAACAGAAGUGAGUUUAGCCACCGGAGAAAAUGUGUCUGAAUAAUCCACCCCAUAAGUCUGAGCAUAUCCUUUAGCCACUAGUCAAGCCUUAAGUCUAGCCACAGAGCCAUCGGAUUAACUUUGACCGCAAAGACCCAUUUGCAUCCCACUGCCUUCUUUCCUUUUGGUAAAUCCACCAAGUCCCAAGUGUGAUUCUCAUCUAGUGCAUGUAUCUCCUCAAGCAUUGCAUUAUACCAUCCAGUGUGACUCAAGGCUUCCUUAACUGUCUUAGGAACAACGAUAGAGUCUAGAGAAACAAUCAAAGAUCUAGACAUAGAGGAUAAAUGACCAUAGGAAACAAAAUUAGCAAUGGAGUAUGGAGAUUUGCAACUACGUGUACCUUUGCGAAUAGCAAUAGGGAGAUCAAGAUCUUCUGGAAGAUCAGACGAAUGAGGAUCUGAUGACAAAGGGACUGGUGCAGAACAUGUAUCAAUGGCCUCUCGCCUCCUCGAGUAAACUUGUACAACCGGAGGUCUUACUACCGUAGAUGGUGCAGGAGCUGAUGGUACAGUAUCCGAUUGAUCCUCAAUAGAUGAUCUGAGAGAUGGAGGGACAAUAUUUGAUUCUUCUGUCAAAACACGGGUGACCUCAUAGACUAACCACUCAUCCUGUGGAAUUCUUAGGAGUUUCAAUCUUCACAUUAUAAGUUGUUCCACCUCUACCAACAUUUGUAAGGGUCCUCCUGAAUUUCUGCUCCAACCAGGUGAAGUUCCCCUCCAGGCUAUAUGGGUUCAAUGCAAUGAAUGAUGGAUAGUUGAGAUCAGCUGAUGGAUUUGAGCAGUUAUCGUAAUUGGCUGAUGAUCUUGCAAAUGUUUUGAAUUGCUCUUCUGUGAAAUUCAUAGAGCAUAUAAGAUUUAUGUAAUCUUGUGGAGUGGCAUCAUAUACAAGCCUGGGAUCAAGAGCUCUGUUUGGGUCAACAUGCCCUGCACCCAUAUCUAGGGGUGUGGUAGCAAGAACAGUGGAUGGCAUACGAUUAAUCAGAAGACAAGUCGUAGAGACUGCAUCUGCCCAAAACUGUUUAGGAACCUCAAGCCUGGGAUCAAGAGCUCUGUUUGGGUCAACAUGCCCUGCACCCAUAUCUAGGGGUGUGGCUACCCAAUUAUUAUCGUCUUUAAUAGGUUUUUUAGUACUAUCCAAAUGGUUUGCUGUGGUCAUCAUGGCGGAGCGAAUUGCAGAAGGACUCCAUUCAGGAUGUGCACCUUUUAGCAUUGCUGCAAUUCCAGCUACAUGAGGGGCAGCCAUGGAUGUGCCUGAUUUAAGUUCGUAAUCACUGGAUAGUUCUAAGUUCGUCUGAAUACUUUGUGAAAAGAGAUUAGGUGGAAAUGCUGCAAGAAUCAGUACCCCUGGUGCCAUAAUAUCUGGCUUUGCGAUUCCCAAGUAGCUUCUGGAGGGCCCUCGUGCUGAGCUUCCAGCAAGAACUGGGGCAGGCCUACCAUCCACAUAAGUUUCUUGGAACGUGAUUGUAGCCGUUGGAGAAACACUGUUUUUUACGUAAUUGAUGAUUUGUUUCCCUUCCUUUUUGUCAACCACAACGCCUGGGUAGGGAAAUGAAGAAGACCUGAAAACUCCUGGAUCCUCAGAAAUAAAGAUGCCUGCUUUGAGUCUUGCUCCAAUGACAUGAGAAAUUUGACUAGAGAAACCCCAACCCUCUUCAUCUGCAUUGUAAUCACAGAUGAUGAUGGUGCGUUCGGGAUCAGAAACUUGUGAUAACAAUUCAACUGAAUCACAAGCGGCCAGAGUCUUGUUGUAAAUCACCGGAGAAUCCCUGACAAAGGCUCUUGCAGGAAAUAAGCUCCAUCCCCUAAUUCUCAACCCAUUUCCCAAAGUCAAAGUUCCUGAAAAUCUUCUGUCAGUGUGGCCUGCUGCCACACACAAGAUCCAUUGCUUAAACUUCCCACGCUUGGACCUUGAUUUCCAGCUGAUGUUGAAACUAGCACUCCCUUCAUCAUAGCUCCAAAAGAAGCGAUUGAUAUAGCAUCUUCAUAUAACGGAAUGAAACGGUAACCAAAAGAAAUGGAUAUCAUGUCAACACCGUCUGCAACAGAUUGGUCCAUAGCAGCAAUUAAAUCUGAUGUAAAAGUUCCUUCAUUGAAGCUAGACUUGUACACAGCUAUCCUAGCUCGUGGAGCAGUCCCUCUUGCUGUUCCUGGUGCAUAUCCAAAAUGGGAAAUACCUUUCGCAAAGUUCCCAGCAGCAAUGGAAGCGCAAUGUGUGCCGUGACCAUCAGUAUCCCUGGCAGAAUUCAUGGAAAUGUUCACAGUGGGAUCAUUCGCCAAAAUACCCUUUGGGGAUUUCUGGCAAACCAUCAUCUUGGAAACUCAUGGAUUCGGGUCAGAUUCCACCGUCAAGAACAGCCACGAUCACAUCUUGGCCUAAACCAGAAGCUGGCCAUAGCCCAGAUGAAGGAUUGAGCUUGAGGAAAUCAGAAGUGUAAGUAGUGUGAGGUUCCACAGUUCUGUCUUUGUAUGCUGAAAUGAAACCUGGUGACUUUUUCAAAGCUUUCAGUUCAUCUUUGGACAAAACAGCACUGAAUCCAUGAAACACAUUGUCAUAGGAAUAAACAAGUUUUGGAGCAGAGUGGAAUCUGCCUACUGAUGAAGGAAUUACAGAGGCUUUGAUGGAAUCAAUAGUGGAAGAAUGCCAAUGAUGGUGAUCAGCAAAUACAUUAGGCAUUAAGGACUUGUCAAGGUGGACAAUGUAAGUGGAUCUUUGUGCUAUAGCUAAGAAGAGAUGAGCAGAAAGGAACCAUGAAAGCAAGAUCAGAUAUGGAGAACAUGGAAACCAAAUAUUUCUAGAUUCCAUGUUCAUCACUUACUACACACUAGUGUUCUUAAGACACCAAAUAUUCAUUCAAUGCAAACUUGAGAAGCAGGAAUACACCUUUGACGAUUUGGAUUGAUCAAAGUUGUCAGGGGUAAAAAAAAUCGGCAAUGUUGGGAAUUUUUUUGGCACAAAGUAGCUCCUACUACAUACAUUAUUUAUUCCCAUAUCUUUUUGAUAGGAAAAAUACUUUUCAUUCAGUAUUUAUACAUAAUUCCCCUUAGUCUUGUAUAGUGUACUUGCAGCUCAAGAAUCUGAUGGCCUUAGUCUUCGUUACCCCAGACCUCGAUUAUGGGAGACGUUACUAUAGGACUCCUAACAGAGUGGUUACCCUUCUCUUCAACCCAAGUGAUCGACCCAAAGUUCGUACUCUGAUCACUAUCACCUAUAUAUCGAAUUGUCAAACUAUAACUUUGCUUAUCAUUUUUCCCCUUGAACACCAGAGUUCGUGGAGACACUGAAACUGUGGAAUUCUUAGGAGUUUCAAUCUUCACAUUAUAAGUUGUUCCACCUCUACCAACAUUUGUAAGGGUCCUCCUGAAUUUCUGCUCCAACCAGGUGAAGUUCCCCUCCAGGCUAUAUGGGUUCAAUGCAAUGAAUGAUGGAUAGUUGAGAUCAGCUGAUGGAUUUGAGCAGUUAUCGUAAUUGGCUGAUGAUCUUGCAAAUGUUUUGAAUUGCUCUUCUGUGAAAUUCAUAGAGCAUAUAAGAUUUAUGUAAUCUUGUGGAGUGGCAUCAUAUACAAGCCUGGGAUCAAGAGCUCUGUUUGGGUCAACAUGCCCUGCACCCAUAUCUAGGGGUGUGGCUACCCAAUUAUUAUCGUCUUUAAUAGGUUUUUUAGUACUAUCCAAAUGGUUUGCUGUGGUCAUCAUGGCGGAGCGAAUUGCAGAAGGACUCCAUUCAGGAUGUGCACCUUUUAGCAUUGCUGCAAUUCCAGCUACAUGAGGGGCAGCCAUGGAUGUGCCUGAUUUAAGUUCGUAAUCACUGGAUAGUUCUAAGUUCGUCUGAAUACUUUGUGAAAAGAGAUUAGGUGGAAAUGCUGCAAGAAUCAGUACCCCUGGUGCCAUAAUAUCUGGCUUUGCGAUUCCCAAGUAGCUUCUGGAGGGCCCUCGUGCUGAGCUUCCAGCAAGAACUGGGGCAGGCCUACCAUCCACAUAAGUUUCUUGGAACGUGAUUGUAGCCGUUGGAGAAACACUGUUUUUUACGUAAUUGAUGAUUUGUUUCCCUUCCUUUUUGUCAACCACAACGCCUGGGUAGGGAAAUGAAGAAGACCUGAAAACUCCUGGAUCCUCAGAAAUAAAGAUGCCUGCUUUGAGUCUUGCUCCAAUGACAUGAGAAAUUUGACUAGAGAAACCCCAACCCUCUUCAUCUGCAUUGUAAUCACAGAUGAUGAUGGUGCGUUCGGGAUCAGAAACUUGUGAUAACAAUUCAACUGAAUCACAAGCGGCCAGAGUCUUGUUGUAAAUCACCGGAGAAUCCCUGACAAAGGCUCUUGCAGGAAAUAAGCUCCAUCCCCUAAUUCUCAACCCAUUUCCCAAAGUCAAAGUUCCUGAAAAUCUUCUGUCAGUGUGGCCUGCUGCCACACACAAGAUCCAUUGCUUAAACUUCCCACGCUUGGACCUUGAUUUCCAGCUGAUGUUGAAACUAGCACUCCCUUCAUCAUAGCUCCAAAAGAAGCGAUUGAUAUAGCAUCUUCAUAUAACGGAAUGAAACGGUAACCAAAAGAAAUGGAUAUCAUGUCAACACCGUCUGCAACAGAUUGGUCCAUAGCAGCAAUUAAAUCUGAUGUAAAAGUUCCUUCAUUGAAGCUAGACUUGUACACAGCUAUCCUAGCUCGUGGAGCAGUCCCUCUUGCUGUUCCUGGUGCAUAUCCAAAAUGGGAAAUACCUUUCGCAAAGUUCCCAGCAGCAAUGGAAGCGCAAUGUGUGCCGUGACCAUCAGUAUCCCUGGCAGAAUUCAUGGAAAUGUUCACAGUGGGAUCAUUCGCCAAAAUACCCUUUGGGGAUUUCUGGCAAACCAUCAUCUUGGAAACUCAUGGAUUCGGGUCAGAUUCCACCGUCAAGAACAGCCACGAUCACAUCUUGGCCUAAACCAGAAGCUGGCCAUAGCCCAGAUGAAGGAUUGAGCUUGAGGAAAUCAGAAGUGUAAGUAGUGUGAGGUUCCACAGUUCUGUCUUUGUAUGCUGAAAUGAAACCUGGUGACUUUUUCAAAGCUUUCAGUUCAUCUUUGGACAAAACAGCACUGAAUCCAUGAAACACAUUGUCAUAGGAAUAAACAAGUUUUGGAGCAGAGUGGAAUCUGCCUACUGAUGAAGGAAUUACAGAGGCUUUGAUGGAAUCAAUAGUGGAAGAAUGCCAAUGAUGGUGAUCAGCAAAUACAUUAGGCAUUAAGGACUUGUCAAGGUGGACAAUGUAAGUGGAUCUUUGUGCUAUAGCUAAGAAGAGAUGAGCAGAAAGGAACCAUGAAAGCAAGAUCAGAUAUGGAGAACAUGGAAACCAAAUAUUUCUAGAUUCCAUGUUCAUCACUUACUACACACUAGUGUUCUUAAGACACCAAAUAUUCAUUCCACUUUAUAGGAUUAAGUAUAGAAGCAUAUGAGGUCCCUUUAGCAAUCAAUACAGCUAGAUAAUUUGACUCUUCUUAUCCAUUGAAAUGAGCUGAUUCAGUAAAGAUAGGCAGCUUGUGUAAAAGCAAACUUUACCAUCAUGCCUGAAAGGGACCUAUAUGUCAGUCUCAAAUAUGACUGCUAUUUAUCAUUUUUUUUUCUCUGUAAUAUAAACUUUUACAAGGAAAUAGUGUACAUAAUUUUGUGAGCUUUAUGCUCUCUCUACUUCUGAAUAAUUUAUGAUGACAAUAAUUUUGAUUAGCAUUGUUAAUCUGGAGAAUAAUUAAUGAGAACUGGAAGAUUAGUAAAGAGAAAUGACUAUUCAUAAUAUCAUUAGUCUUUUUCAUGGUCUGUAGUAUGAUAAAUGACUCCAGAUCAAUCAUGUAAGAGUAGGUCGGUGUGUGGAUGGAAUGUGACAAACUAUUCAGCAACAUCACACUCUGUCUAAAGAGAAAUGCAGGCUUCUAAUUAGGAAUGUCAAAUGAUCGGUUCCAUUAAAUUUGAGUUUGUUAAAAAGAGUUGGUUAAUAAAUGGAUGAGUCACUAACCCGCUCAUAUGCAAUGAGUUGUGUCAAACUGGGCUAAUUACAACAUUUACCAUUAAUGCAUUUUGUCUACUACCUUUGAAGAGUAUUUUCAGUUAGAAAUUCUAACAACAUCGGAAGGAAUGAGCAUCUGAGUUGGGAAAGGUUAACAGAAAACCUAGGAGAGCCAUUAUUCACCUGCACAUAUUUAUGUGAAAGACAUUAUUCAUUUAAUUUGAUGGUAACUCAACUUUUUACUUUAUUGCACUAGAGUAAUUUAACUAAUUUUUUAACGAAAAAUUACUCAGAACUUUAUUUUAGUAUCACUAAAGUCACUCAACUACUUUUUUAUUUCACAAAUAAUUCUAAGUGGACAGGUGGCUAUAACCUUUUCUUGUGGUCCCGAAUUUGAUGAAUCACUCAAAAUCAAUGAUGUAAAGGGAAGAUAAUAAUAUCUUGUAUUUAAAAAAGGAGAUUCAAAGUACUAUAAACAGGGCAAGAACAACGACAACAUAUUCAGUGUAGUCCGAGAUUUGUUGAGAAUGGUAUACACAGAACAUCAAAAGCUAGUAUCACCAGAGGCACCACCUAGGGGACUGGUGAAAUGAUAGUUAUUGAGGUCAGAGGUUUUGAUAAAGAGUGUAAAAAUCCUCAUCAUGGAAAAUUUUGUGACAUGUAUUCAGGAUUUGUGAAUAUCGAACACGGAAUGAUUAAGCUAAAAGAACAGAAAGCUUAUUGAACUCUCUCUUUGUAUGUCGUCUUUAACUUUAUCAGAGAUAUUUUUGAAGGGACAACUUUUUACUUGUAGUAAAGUCAAAAUUCUUAUCCCACAUCUUGAAUAUUUAGUCCUUCCCCCAAAAUAUCUUUUGAGAAGUCUUUAGACUGUUUUAGGCUUUUGCUUGACAAAUGAGAAUUAUCCUAUCCACGUAAGGAUCAUAAUAUACAAACUAUAGAAAAUGAUUUAUUUUACUAUUGAUCAAUGAGUUCUUAGGGAUAAAAUGACUUAAAGUAGGUUAUCGAAUAAGACAACUUUUUCAUUCAGCAUACAUAAUCUGAUGGUCCUAAAUCCUAAUCUUCUGAAGCCCAAACAUCCAACUGUGGAAGUUAUCACCAUUGGACUUCUUACUGAAUGGUUUCCACUCUUUUCAACCCAAGUGAUAGACCCAUCUUGACCUCCUUUCUCGUCACCUCUAUAGCGAAUUGUCAAAGUAUAGCUUUGCUUCUCAUUUUUGUUCAUGAAUACCAAUGUUUGUGGUGACACUGAAAUUGUAGAGUUCCUAGGAUUCUCUAUUUUUACUCUGUAAGUUGCUCCAGAUUUACCAACAUUUGUAAGGGUCCUCUUGAAUUUCUGCUCCAACCAGGGGUAGUUACUCUCCUGGCUGAAUGAAUAAAAGACAAUGAAGGAUGGGUAAUUGAGAUCAGCUGAUGCAUUUGAGCAAUUGUGGUAAUUGGCUGAUGAUCUUGCAAAUGUUUUGAACUGCUCCUCUGUGAAAUUCAAAGAGCAUAUAAGAUUUAUGUAAUCUUGUGGAGUGGCAUCAUCUACAAGACCAGGAUCAAGUGCUCUGUUUGGAUCAACGUGCCCUGAUCCAAUGCCUAGAGGCGAGGCUACAAAGUUAUCGUCCUCUCUAAUAGGCUUUUGAGCACUAUUCAAAUGGUUUGCAGUAGUCAUCAUGGCAGAGCGAAUAGCUGAAGGACUCCAAUCAAGAUGUGCGCCUUUUAGCAUUGCUGCAAUUCCAGCUGCAUGUGGUGCAGCCAUGGAUGUGCCUGAUUUAAGCUCGUAAUCAGUGGUUAAUUGUAGGUUCUCAAUAGAAACGGAAGGGAUAUUAGGUGGAACUGCUGCAAGAAUAAGUGCCCCUGGAGCCAUAAUAUCUGGCUUUGCAAUUCCUGCGUAGCUUCUGGAGGGCCCUCGUGAUGAGUAUCCAAGAAGAAAUGGGCUUGGCCUUUCUCCAUCCAAAUAUGUUUCUUGGAAUGUUAUGGUGGCAGUGGGAGCAACACUGUUUUUAGCGUAAUUGAUGACUUGUUUCCCUUCCUUUUUGUCAAUCACUACUCCCGGGUGGGUAAAAGAAGCAUCCCUGAACACUGCUGGAUCCUCAGAAAUAAAGAUGCCUGCUUUAAAUCUUGCUCGAGUGACAGAAAAAAUUUGACUAUCAAAACCAAAACCGUCUUCAAGUUUAUUAUAGUCACAAAUGAUGAUGGUGUUUUGGGAAUCAGGAACUUGUGAUAACAAGUCAUCUGACUUGCAAUCAGAUAGAGUCUUAUUGUAAAUCACCGGAGAAACCCUGACAAAGGCUCUUGCAGGAAACAAGCUCCACCCCCUAAUUUUUAAUCCAUUGCCCAAAGUCAAUGUUCCUGCAAACGUCCAGUCGGUGAAGCCUGCUGCCACGCACAAGAUCCAUGGAGAUCCAUUGCCUAAAGUUCCCCAACUUGGACCUCGAUUUCCAGCUGAAGCUGAAACCAGCACUCCCUUCAUCAUAGCUCCAAAAGAAGCAAUAGAUAUAGCAUCUUCAUAUAAGGGAAUGAAACGGUUACUAAAAGAAAUGGAUAUCAUAUCAACACCGUCUGCAACAGCUUGGUCCAUAGCAGCAAUUAGAUCCGAUGUUAAGCUUCCUUCACGAAAGUUAAACUUGUAUACAGCUAUCCUAGCUCGCGGAGCAACCCCUCUUGCUGUUCCUUGUGCAUAUCCAAAAUGGGAAACAUCUUUCGCAAAGUUCCCAGCAGCAAUGGAAGCGCAAUGUGUGCCAUGACCAUUAGUAUCCCUAGCAGAAUUCAUGGAAAUGUUCAGAGUGGGAUCAUCAGCCAAAAGUCCCUGGUUGAAGUAAUUGGCCCCAAUGAGUUUUCUGUUGCACAUGGAAGUGUUAAACUGGGUGCCUGGAUUGCAAAUUCCUUUCCAUCUUUUGGGGAUUUCAGGAAUACCAUCAUCUCGAAAACUUGCAGAUUCGGGCCAGAUGCCACCGUCAAGAACACCAAUGAUCACAUCUUGGCCUAAACCAGAAGCUGGCCAUAGACCAGAUGAAGGAUUGAGCUUGAGGUAAUCAGAUGUGUAAGUAGUGUCAGGUUCCACAGUUCUAUCUUUGUAUGCUGAAAUGAAACCUGGUGACUUCUUCAAAGCUUUCAGUUCAUCUUUGGACAAAACAGCACUGAAGCCAUGAA